ACGCUGGCGGCGUGCCUAAUACAUGCAAGUCGAACGCACAGCGAAAGGUGCUUGCACCUUUCAAGUGAGUGGCGAACGGGUGAGUAACACGUGGACAACCUGCCUCAAGGCUGGGGAUAACAUUUGGAAACAGAUGCUAAUACCGAAUAAAACUUAGUGUCGCAUGACACAAAGUUAAAAGGCGCUUCGGCGUCACCUAGAGAUGGAUCCGCGGUGCAUUAGUUAGUUGGUGGGGUAAAGGCCUACCAAGACAAUGAUGCAUAGCCGAGUUGAGAGACUGAUCGGCCACAUUGGGACUGAGACACGGCCCAAACUCCUACGGGAGGCUGCAGUAGGGAAUCUUCCACAAUGGGCGAAAGCCUGAUGGAGCAACGCCGCGUGUGUGAUGAAGGCUUUCGGGUCGUAAAGCACUGUUGUAUGGGAAGAACAGCUAGAAUAGGAAAUGAUUUUAGUUUGACGGUACCAUACCAGAAAGGGACGGCUAAAUACGUGCCAGCAGCCGCGGUAAUACGUAUGUCCCGAGCGUUAUCCGGAUUUAUUGGGCGUAAAGCGAGCGCAGACGGUUUAUUAAGUCUGAUGUGAAAGCCCGGAGCUCAACUCCGGAAUGGCAUUGGAAACUGGUUAACUUGAGUGCAGUAGAGGUAAGUGGAACUCCAUGUGUAGCGGUGGAAUGCGUAGAUACAUGGAAGAACACCAGUGGCGAAGGCGGCUUACUGGACUGCAACUGACGUUGAGGCUCGAAAGUGUGGGUAGCAAAC
rnacentral:rRNA from 1 species